rnacentral:lncRNA from 10 species
CAGAUGGGCCAGGCUGUGUGGAGCAAGAAAGUUUCAGUUCCUUUUUCUCCCACCUCAAGCCUAGUGUAUGGUAACAUUACACAGAGAGCCAUAAAAAAGUUCUUUCUUGUAGCACAUUUCAGGGUUUUUUCCAGUGACAUCAUGGGCCAUCUGGAUUUGAAGACAGCAGCCUCAUCCAGAACACACACACACGCACUCUCCCCUGCCAGGCCCUGCAGGUCUGCCCUCUAGGAUCAGGAGCACUAUAAACGUCCUGUAAAGCUGUCUUUUUAAUAGCCUCCUCAGAAGCAGCCUAAGGAAGAUGGUCUUUUCCUCCUGCAGUCCCAUGGAUGGCAGAUAAAGUGGAUUCUCAGCACAGAAGCCUCAGAGGAGAAGUGCCUUCUACAGUGUAGGUGUACAGCAAGCAUGGAAUGAAUAUUGCAAUUGGGUAGAAGCAGAGCUAAAGAAGGAAUAAGGCCUGGAGCUCACUCUGCCUGUGUCCGAGAACACCUUGAAACGUUCUCUACAUGGAUUUCACUCAUAUUACACAUCCUCCCUUUGGAGGGACAGCAUCGUGCCAUGAUAGGUCUGUUUUUCUAGGAUAUAAGAAAAGGGCAGAACGCAGAGCCCAGAUUGUUUUCCUUGGUAUGUAGCCCUGGGGCGAUAGAUCACCAGAGUUGAAGAGUGACCUGCUGAGAAAGUAUGGGAGAGCUUCUGGGUAAUGCACGAAAGAAACCCAGGAUGAGCAGAAGGGAACAAGCACUGAAGAAACCUACACUGUUAUCAUUUGUGUUAGGUAGCCCUUCUUGAUAUGGGUGGGAGUCCACCCAUCAAGGUGAUGAUCUAGAAGUAGAAGAAUCAUAGAAAAAUGGGAUGCUGAGCAUGCAACAACUUUAAAAUAGUUUAAUAUUUGCUCAUACCUCUUCCAUUGGCAAUACUUGGUAGCAACCUGAUUUUAUAGAAAUUUAUAUAUUCAUUUCUUCCUUAUUGAGGUCAAAUAAAUUACUCAUGUCUAAAACGUC